ensembl:lncRNA
AAGAGGGGAGAAUCCAGUUCCAUACUGGGAUAAAACCAAGCCCGUUACCUUUAUUUUAUGUUUUUUAAAAAGUUGCCAUAGAGAGAAAGGAGGGAGGAGGAAGUUCAAGAUAUCAAGAAUAAAGACUUGAACCCAAAUCUUCCUUGUUCAGGAUGAGUGCCAAGGUCCACUGUAUUAUUGGCUUUUCUGGCAUAUCUUUUUCUAUAAACUUUUUGAAGCAGUUUCAUUUUCUUUAAAGAAAUGCUUACUGGAGAAGGUGGUUUAUACGCCAUUGAAUCCAGUGUCCAUAGUAAAUGAACAUUCUGUGACAACAGGACUGUGGGACCAUUUCACAUCAAGGCCCAGCAAGUUUUAGCCGCUUCCAAGGGAAGAAGUGCUGCAGAAGGAGGAAAAGAGAACAGCCCAAAAGCUUAUUAAUUGUGUAGAAGUACUCUGCAAACAAGAGGUGAGUUCAUAACCGAAUAACAUUCCUCCAGUGAUCUAUGAGUUUGUAUCCUUCUUCCAACAAGAACUUCUUGGUUGCCUGUGGAGAGGCAGAAGGGAACCUUCUCUUCUAUGUACCUUCCACUGCUGGAGGAGUUCAGGCACAAACACAUCAAGGCUCUGUUUAAGCACAGUCCUUUUACAUGACUCAUGGUCCCAUUUAAGAUGCUCAGGGUCCUGUUCCCUUCAGCUGCCUUCUGGACAUCACUGCCUCUCUGGUGGAACAGCAGAACAGAUGUUAACUACAGCAGUUGCUCUCAGUAAAUGGCUCACUUUCUGUAGUGGCUCAUCUACCUUCUGGCUGAGCAGAAGAACAAUCUGAUAUCAAUUGUAAUGCCAUCCUCAAAGCCAUCCUUCAAAUGUGUGGAGUGGGAGAAGUGAAGGGUAUGCAACAGACAGGUAUGUGGUAGUGUGGAGACCCAGGAUGCAGCUCCUGCAGCAAGCAGGACAAGAGGUUGCCUGUCAUUGGGAUGUAGGGGUCUUUCUCCAUCCCAAGGCUACAGUGUUAUAUGUCACAGGACUUUUACUGCUAUCACUUGGUAACAAUUCAUCAGAAAAUAUUCUGUGUCUUUCGCAUUGAAGUGAAAAAGUGUGAGCCCUGUCACAACACGUUCUGACCACAUGCAAGCAUUCUGGUGCCUGUCACUAUUGCAUCAUCUGGGCAUUUUCAUUCAUUCUAUGCAUUUGUUAUUUUGAUCUUAAAAUGCCCCUCUGUGCAAUUCAGUUGAGAUAUUUCCGUUUUUAAUAAUACAUUUUCCAUAAUGCUUUCCUUCCUCCUUCAGACCUCUCUGAAAUCGAGCACUGCAGUCCACUGACAUGUUGACAGUUUUACAUGAAUUAAUGAAAAAGGAGUUGGAAGUGACUGACAAAGAUUUGUUUAUUAUUAUUAAACCGACUGUGAAUAUAAGUUGCUCUACUGAAAAGAAAAUUAAGAGAAGGAGGAACUGAAAAAAGUAUCAAUCCGCAAUGUAUGAUUAAGAAUAUAUUCUAUUCUUCAAUCAAUGAAUAAUUUUAAGAACUAAGGCUGCUGCCUGGAGGCAGAAAUCCUUGUUCUGAAUUGCACUCAGGACUGCCUUACUGGUAUGGCUAAUAUGCUGAGAGGAAGUGAAAAUGGAUAUUUCAACACUGUGAAAAAUACUAGCUCAAAGUUGGUCCUUUAAUGGAGAAAGAAAAAUAUGAAUCAUCUUGGUAACAAAACAAAAAGAUAUAAGAUGAAAAGGUACUUGCUGGAUAAUUUGUUAUCUACUUUUGCUCAGGUAAAAAGCUGAAAUACAUAAGUCUAAGAGUCGCAGAAGUGACACCUCAUCUUUUUGGAGGAACGCACUGUGGAAUGUGUUAGCUUACCGUAUCACGUCAGGCUCAUGCUCUCAUCAUUUGCACACACUCCUAUUUCACACCCAUGUUUCCUUUAACACUUCAGCCUUCCCCAUCCGCUCAGUGUUUGCCUUUGCCUGGUCUGUGGUAACAACGAAGCCUGGCACUCACCAGGCCUGGACUGCAUGGCGCAGGCCAGCUCAAACAAGGCUGCUUCCUCUUUCUGUUUUCCUGCCCAGAGGCCAGCCAACCAAAGAUGAAAUUCCUCCAUUCCUGGAACAUCUGGCUGAGCCUCUCAAUGCUUGUAAUUAUCCUCCUACUCCCAGCUCUCUGCAGGUGCAGGGAAGUGUGGUGAAGGUUCUGUGAGAGCACAGCUUUACGGUGGGUAAGUUCACAUAUAAAUCUCACGUAAAUGCAUACCAUAUGAUUUAACAUACAUUUUUGGUUUUAUAAUUUUUGCUGAGAGUGGAUCUCACUGAUAAAAUGCCAGGUGGAAUAAUAUCAGUUAAGAAACUUAGGGCAAAACCUCCAAACUUGCAGUGAGUGCAGAACUAUGUAUUGUCAUCAAAAUCUACAUCUCAACAUCAUAUACUGCCAUAUCACUAAUGCUUUUACCAUCUGCCUACCCUCAUUCACUUUUUAUCCCUUCUCUCAACACAGGCUCUCAUUUCUCAGCUGCUUUUUGUCUUCACUCACUGCUCCUUCCUCGUCAGUCAGCCACUUGCUGCCCUCAUCUCACACAGAAACCCCAGGAAAACCUUCCCAUGCAUUCCCUAGCAGGGGAUGCUCUCGUAGUCCAAACAUGAAUGUUGCCAGAGCCACAACCUGUUCCUUGUUCAGCUCAGCACAGCACAUCUAAGCAGAUGGGGACAGGACAGCACUCCAGCUCCUUCACACUGAGGCAGAGCUUUUCUGAAGGACUCAAGUCUGCAUUUGCACGCCUCAUUUUCUCAUAGUUCAACUUUGCUCCAUGACUUGUUUGUACAACAAAGGUAAGCAUGAAAUAGGCCUUGCUCCAGAGGAGGGUGUUUCUAAGGUAUUGCUUAUAUACAUAUGAAUAAACACAGUAUAUUAAUUUUCUGUAGACUAGCAUUAUGUUCAUUAUUGCAGUAAAAACUUAUGCAGAAUGUAAACUCUCAGAUGUGAUAAAACAGUAUCACCCUUUGAAGACUAGUUUCACAUUGAAUACACUGUAUUUUUAAAAGCUGUUAAAUUACGUGUCAGUUGUAAACAUUCUUUGACUAUCCUGCAGCUAAAACAAGAUGGAAGUUUACAUUUAAAAUAAGGAACAAAUCCCUGAAUAUUUCACCCUCAACCUUGUAAGCAGCUCCAUGGUGCCAGGAUGCAUUACCUUCACCUGGAAUCCACCAGAUCACAGUAAUCCAUAUAUCAUAGAACCAUGGAAUGGUUUGGGUUGGAAGGGACCUUUAGGAUCAUCUAGUUCCACUCCCCUUCAAUAGGCAGGGACACCUCCCCCUAGACCAGGUCGCUCACAGCCCCAUCCAGCCUGGCCUUGAAUGCUUCCAGGGAGGGGGCAUUCACAACCUCUCUGGACAACCUGUUUCACUGUCUCACCACGUUCACAGUAAAGAAUUUCUUCCUAAUAUCUAGUCUAAAUCUACAUUUUUCCAGUUUAAAACCACUUCCCCUCAUCCUGUCACUACAUGCCCUUACAAAAAGUCCCUCCCCAGUGCAUAUAUGUGUAUUGAUAAAAGAUAUACCCACAAAAAAUCCUAUUAAAAAGUUAUAGAAGAAGGAUUCAGCCACACCCUUUCUUUCCCAAAUCAGAAUAUUACUCUUUUAUUGCAGCAAGACCACUCUAGUAUGUCAGUGGAAAUUUUCAUGAAUUGAUAUAUUUGAUGAAGGUCCUCUUCAUCAAAUGGAUCCUCUCCUCAGUGUAGGACUUCAAUUUUGUUCAGUGCAUACUGCAAUCAUCCCAUUAUGAAAAAAAGAUUCUUGAAAAUGUGAAUGAAAUGAAGCUGAUGCAGUGUUGGUGUUGUGAGUAUGCCUGUACUUAACCUCAAAGUAGCAUUAUUUACUGCUUUCCUGCUGAAAAACUGGAUAAAAGUUGAUGUAACUCAUACAUCAAUUACAUUUCAGUGCCACUUAGACUAUCAAAAUCACUGAGUCAGUGAGACAACUCACAUGAAAAUAUCUUUUGCUAGAUGGUUAGGGUUACAUGACAAACUUAUCAUUUUCAAAACUUUAAAUUGGAUUUCAUGUCAUAUUUAUUGUGAACUGCCAAUGAAGUCAGAAAAAUACCUGUUUAAAAAAAACCCAUACUUCUACGCUCUCCAAUAGACAGACAACCAUAGAUUGCAAACUACUGGUCUUCAUCUAAUCUACCCAGAAUUUAGAUGACCUAGAGGUGAUGAGAAUUGUUUGGUAAUGUUUUAAAAUGUUUUGGGAAAUAUUUGUAAAAUUAUUUGAGUUCCUAAGAGAGAAAAGUGUCACUACUGUCCAAACUGUUGCUGUUAUGUAUAGAUACUAAUUGCAGUGUGUUUCACAAACAGGUGAAACUCAACUGUAUUGGUUAAAGUAACAUUCACAAACGAGAGAUACAAAAAUGUAGAUAGAGCUAUCCAAAUAUGUUGUGCAAAGCCAAAAGAAUU